GAACUUGACUGGACUUUUUUAGUAGCUUUGUUAACAUUUGCUGAAAACCCGAGCGUGAUCUUACUCAUAAUCAAAUACUUCAAUGCCCAUUCAUCAUUUUCUGCUACUCAAGUAUAGGGUCACUAUAUCAGCGCUGCAACAAUGUGGAACACCACUAGAUGGUUGCAGAAUGAAAACUCUGUCACCUAAAGGAUUAAAUUCCUCAUGAAUCCCUCCAAUUCUUCUCACAAAAAACUUGAGCAAAGAAAUAAGAAGAACUGAAUCAUCUUUAGAAACCAGAUAUAAAAGAAAGAACUGAAACCUAAAGAAGAUUGUUGUAUUGUUUGAUCUAAUAGUAUGUGGAAUUUUGGAAAAACUGAUUUGAGAAAAAAAUAGUUUAUUUCCACUGCAUAUUCUUUUAAGACAAUUCCUUAGAAAUUAAUAAAGCAAAUCAAUUCUAAAUACAUAUUUAUAUUACUUCUGUUAAAUGCAGUGGAACUAUUUCAGGUGGAAAAUGUAAAAGUGAUCCUAGGUUUUCUUCACUGGAUCAUCUACACAUUUACAGUAUGCCCAUAUACAAUUAUCACGGAAUUUCUAAUUAAAUGGCUGCCAUGAAAAUGGUAAUACCACUUUUUUUUUUAAAAAAAUGUUGCGAUUAGGAAGAGAAAUUGUUAUUCGUGAAACAGUUGUUAAUUCAUUAUAUCAUAAAUUAAUACAGGAAACCUUGUUUUGACUAGAUUAUAAAUAAGCUAGGAUUAAUCUUUUGAAAACUAUAUGGAGAUAUAAAACGUGAUUGAAACUCAAAGGUGAUGCUUCUCCUUCAUCAAAACCAGCUAACCUGUUUCUUAUUUAUAGCCUGUCUAGGUUCUUAAAAUAAUGUAUAUAAUAAAUCUCUUUGAUGUUUGAUGCUUGAUGCUUAAAACCAAUGCUUUUAACCAUUAGUUAUGAUUGUAGUCAAAAAUUGCAGCUGAUCUCAUGUUCUUUAAAUAUCAUUGUGUCUUCAAAAACUUUCUGAAUGUAUCAAGUGUUCUAUUUCUUCUGACGUAAGAACGUAAGAAUUUGUUGUCAGAUAUUUCUGGAGGAUAAAGUACUGUAUAUGCCAGCCAAAUUUUUAUCCUGUGCUACAAAUCCUGUUCCAACAGCAAUACUAACAUAUCAUGUCUGUACGUAAAGGAUAUAUAGAAGAUAAUUGUGCCUUUGCAAUAAGAUGGUGCUGUUCUUUGACCUUUUUAAGAAAGUUGCGUUGCAUGUGCAUUGAGCAUAGAAGGGAUUUUGCAACCAGCAAGUUUAAAAUGGUCCAAAACAACAUGAACCCAUAUAGACUUCAUAAAAUAGCAGUGUACUAUACUGCAAGCUGGCUGAGGAACUCUGGGAGUUGAAGUCCACAAGUCUUAAAGGGACCAAGGUUGGAGACCCCUGCACUGGAGAAUAUUUUUUUCAUGCUUUAGGAAUGACUCCGAUACAUUUUUUUUCCAUUUGCAAAAUGGACAUGAAGUAUUGUGAAAACAUGUCAUCAAGACUACAUUACUACUGCUACUGCUAGGCCAGUUCUUGGAAGAUAGCUUGAAACUGUAAAAUUUUGUUUGAUAUUGAGAGAAAUAGUCAAACACAUAUAUGUUCUUCAUUGACACACAGGAUAGGAACGAACCUCAGGAAAACUCCAAAGAAAUAUAUUACAAUUAAAUAUUAGAUGAGAAUGUUGAUUAGCUUAAUGAACAGUGCAACAGUUUGCCCUAGGAUUUCUUCCUAUUCUGCUUUGGCAGAAUGUUGAAGUAGAUAGCAUCUACUUUGCUAGAAUUUCAGUAAUGUGAUUCCAAUAAAGGAGAAUAUUUGUAGCUCAGGAUUGAAAUGAGGUGUCCUAGAUGCUCUCUGAGCUUGCUUGUUUUCUUGCAUAAUGGGAUUCUACGAUACUAGUAUAACAAGUUCUACAUGAAGUUACCUCCAUGAUCAUUUUUAAGGGCUCAUGAUUAUUUCUUAAUCAUUCAAGGCUCACUGUAACCCUGUAAUGCUUUGCUUUUUGUGGGGGAGACCAUUAGAGUAAGAUUCUUCACUUAUUGCAUCACGGUAUGGCGUGCUCAUCUGACAGCCAUGGAUAGAAAAACAUUACAGAGGGUGGUGAGUAUAGCAUAAAACAUUGUGGGCUGUCCCCUGAUACCAUUAGAUGAGAUCGCUAAGGUUCCUUGCCUUAGAAGAGUGAGGAAAAUUCUCAGCCUAGUCAUCACUUCUUUACCCUCCUACCAUCGGGAAGGAGAUAUAGAAGUAUAGCCAGCCACACAAACAAGCUGAAGAAUAGUUUUUAUCCAUGGACUGUCAGACACCUGAAUGAGCAAUAACAUCAUAACUAUGUAGUAUGAUGAACUGCAGGGCCGGCGCAAUGUGUAACAUGUUCGCACUGGUGCAAUAGGACUGGGUAUUUUGUUAAUAUGAUUUAUUGGGUUAGGGAUUUUCUGUCUUCACUGUGAGUUGUAUUGUUUUGGAGAGGGCGCACUGAGGGAGCUCAACCAAUCCCAUUAUACAUAUG